GUAACCAUAAGCCACAGGGGCUACUGAGUACUUAAAAUGUGUGGCUUGAGUGACUGAGAAAUUGAAUUUUAAAUUUUAUUUAAUUUUAAUUUAAACUUGAAUAGCUACAUGUGACUAGUGGCUACUAUUGGACAACACCAUUCUAGAAAGAUCAUUUGGAGGUAUGGGAGACUGAAGGGAGGAACACAGAAGGUAUCCCUCCCAGAUGAAAAGUGAGCACAGCCUGAACUAAAACCUAGGCAGUAGUAAUAAUGGUUGGUGGAGAGAUUAGAGAGAUAUGUCAAAUGUAGUACUAGGAGGGUUUGAUUGAUUGAACUUAGGUGUGGUCAAGUCUAGGAUGAAUCUCGGUUUCUCACUUGGGUGACUGGAUGGUGCCAUUCAUCAAGCAAAAGGAGCAGAGUUUAAAAAAUUAUGGACAAGGCCAGGAACGAUGUCUUAUUCCUUUCUCCAUUCCAAUCUGCCACAGUGCUUGACAAGUUAUAGAUACUCAAAACGUAUUUUUGGGGGGCUGGCCCUGUGGCUGAGUGGUUGAGUUUGCGUGCUCUGCUUCAGUGGCCAGGGGUUUCGCCAGCUCGGAUCCCGGGCGCAGACAUGGCACCGCUCAUCAAGACAUGCUGAGGCGGCAUCCCACAUGCCACAACUAGAAGGACCCACAACUGAAAAAACAUACAACUGUGUACCAGGAGCCUUUGGGGAAAAAAAAGGAAAAAUAAAAUCUUUAAAGGCUUUAAAAAAAGAAGGUAUUUUUGUAACCAAUGUGAUGAAGAUGAUGGUGACGAUGAUGGGGUAGGAGGAUGAUUUCACUCCUUCCAAGAGAAGUAAAGAGCUUUUCCAGCUUUAAGAACUAGCCUUCAGUUUAGAAUAGUAUAUUAGUCAAGGUAAUCAACGAAGGCCACUGUUAAAUACAAUUUCCAAAUAUAAGUGCUAUAACCCGAAACAAGGCUAUUACUUACUUAUGAACCUCUGGUGUAGGUCGGGGCUCCUUCCCUCAUGUGGCUCUUUCAUCUUAGAGUCUUUGCUUCCGGCUAUUUAGAUGGGAGAAAAUGUAAAGAAGAUAUACCAGGUUUUAAUCCAGUUGGCAUCGAAGUAGUAGUCAUCACUUCUGCUCAUGUUCCUUUGGCUCCUUGGUUCCAGAGCUCAGGAGCACAGGGCCCAUCUAACUACAGCAUGGCCUGGGAGAUGUAAUCUUCCCACGUGUCCAAGAAGAGACUCCAAAAUGGUGAACAUUAAAAGUUUCUGUCCAUUCUCUGCCCUUCUGGAUGCCGAGUAUCAAUUUUACUCUUCCUCUCACUCAUGGAGCACACUCACCUCAUUUUAAGGAAGACAAUGCAAGGUCCCCUCCAAUCACCACCUCCAGAUCAAUGUCCAGAAUACCCAGGUGAUGUGCCAUCUUCUCCAUUAGUCUAACAUUAAAAGGCCAAGUUAUCUGCACCCUACUUCCCCACCAUCACAACCCAUUUAUAAUGGAAGAAAAGGGGCAGGAAAAUAACGCCAUUUGAAAAGAGAAAUAAUAGACAAUAUGCAGCAUCACAGCCCACAGCCAAGCUGAGACUGCUCUGAGUCAGCACUGUGAAGCCCAUACCUUCUGGGCAUGGUGGAUGCAUGUGGAGUCACCUCUCCAACAGACUCCCUUAUUUCUUCUUCUCCUUGGCCACAAGUAAAGAGGGUUUGGUGGAACACCCUUCCUUCAGAACAGUGAGCUCUAAAAGCUUCACCUCUGCUCAGUCUAGAAUGGGUUGGGAACUUAAGAAUGGUUUUAAG
ensembl:lncRNA